CAGCCGCCCGGUAAUACAGAGGGUGCGAGCGUUAAUCGGAUUUACUGGGCGUAAAGCGUGCGUAGGCGGCUUCUUAAGUCGGAUGUGAAAUCCCUGAGCUUAACUUAGGAAUUGCAUUCGAUACUGGGAAGCUAGAGUAUGGGAGAGGAUGGUAGAAUUCCAGGUGUAGCGGUGAAAUGCGUAGAGAUCUGGAGGAAUACCGAUGGCGAAGGCAGCCAUCUGGCCUAAUACUGACGCUGAGGUACGAAAGCAUGGGGAGCAAACAGGAUUAGAUACCCCAGUAGUCCCUGUCUCUUAUACA
rnacentral:rRNA from 1 species